GCACUGCUGAGGAGUCCCACAAUAGGACGUAACGGCCGUAUAGUGC
rnacentral:hammerhead_ribozyme from 1 species